CCGCCCGUCAUUGGGGAGUAGCCGGUUUUUGUUCAUCCAACAAAAGCGCCUGUAUCAACAUGCUCGCUUGAAUUACCUAAAAUUCAGCGUGGUGCAGGCAACCGUCAGGUAGGCGAGACCAUAGACAUGGUGGGCACUCUGUAGGUUUAGAGGUGCCUUGCAUGUAUAUGUUGCUCAGCCGGAGACU
rnacentral:sRNA from 1 species